UACGGAGGGGGCUAGCGUUGUUCGGAAUUACUGGGCGUAAAGCGUACGUAGGCGGAUCAGCAAGUUGGGGGUGAAAUCCCGGGGCUCAACCCCGGAACUGCCUCCAAAACUGUUGGUCUAGAGUUCGAGAGAGGUGAGUGGAAUUGUGAGUGUAGAGGUGAAAUGCGUAGAUAUUCGGAGGAACACCAGUGGCGAAGGCGGCUCACUGGCUCGAUACUGACGCUGAGGUACGAAAGUGUGGGGAGCAAACAGG
rnacentral:rRNA from 1 species